rnacentral:lncRNA from 1 species
GAGCUCUGAGAAGAGGGGGAGGACAACGACCUGCACCUUGAGCCUGUGAAGGGUGUGACUCUUCUCCAGCUAAAGAACUGUUCUUUGGUGUAAAGGAUAGAAUUUCCUGAGGACCUCUGCUGUGUGGGCUGGCUGA